rnacentral:rRNA from 1 species
CCUAGAACAUAUCUAGGGUGUAACCUGCCCAAUGGUUUUCAAAUAAACAAACAUAAUCAUUUGAAAGAAAAUUAAAAGGACGCAGUAACCUGACUGUGAUAAUGUAGCAUAAUCAUUCGCCAUUUAAUUGAUGGAUAGUAUGAAUGGUCAAACGAAUUCUUCACUGUCUUAAGAAAAAAGGUUAUGAAAUUAAAAUAAUAGUUAAGAUGCUAUUUAAGAUUGUAAGACGAAAAGACCCUAUAGAGCUUGACUACACCCUUCUUGAAGAGAAACAAAAAAUUUACAAAAAGGAAGGUGGAUAGUUUAGUUGGGGCGACUAUCUUCUAAAACAAACGAAGAUAAACAAUGUUAAUAAAAAACUUAUUGUUUAAUCAAUACAUUUAACAAUUACUAAAGUAGGUUAUAAUGACCCGUUACAAACAAAUGAUAGAUGUAACGAUCAAUAAAUAAAAGCUACCUUAGGGAUAACAGGAUAAUUUUGUUUUAGAGAUCCUAUCGAAAACAAAGUUUGUCACCUCUAUGUUGAAUUAAGGUAUCCGAAUAAUGCAGAAUUUAUUAAAGGUAGGUCUGUUCGACCUUUAAAAC